rnacentral:rRNA from 1 species
UAGAGUUUGAUCCUGGCUCAGAUUGAACGCUAGCGGCAGGCCUAACACAUGCAAGUCGAGCGGAAACAACACUAACAAUCCUUCGGGUGCGUUAAUGGGCGUCGAGCGGCGGACGGGUGAGUAAUGCCUAGGAAAUUGCCUUGAUGUGGGGGAUAACCAUUGGAAACGAUGGCUAAUACCGCAUAAUGCCUACGGGCCAAAGAGGGGGACCUUCGGGCCUCUCGCGUCAAGAUAUGCCUAGGUGGGAUUAGCUAGUUGGUGAGGUAAUGGCUCACCAAGGCGACGAUCCCUAGCUGGUCUGAGAGGAUGAUCAGCCACACUGGAACUGAGACACGGUCCAGACUCCUACGGGAGGCAGCAGUGGGGAAUAUUGCACAAUGGGCGAAAGCCUGAUGCAGCCAUGCCGCGUGUAUGAAGAAGGCUUUCGGGUUGUAAAGUACUUUCAGUUGUGAGGAAGGGUGUGUAGUUAAUAGCUGCGCAUCUUGACGUUAGCAACAGAAGAAGCACCGGCUAACUCCGUGCCAGCAGCCGCGGUAAUACGGAGGGUGCGAGCGUUAAUCGGAAUUACUGGGCGUAAAGCGCAUGCAGGUGGUUCAUUAAGUCAGAUGUGAAAGCCCGGGGCUCAACCUCGGAACUGCAUUUGAAACUGGUGAACUAGAGUACUGUAGAGGGGGGUAGAAUUUCA